UGUCGUCUGGUCUCUACUAAGGAUCGUCCGGCACGUACCGCCGGUGGAGGUUCAAUAU
rfam:Actinomyces sp. S6-Spd3 contig279, whole genome shotgun sequence.